AACGCGAAGAACCUUACCAGCCCUUGACAUCCCGGUCGCGGACACCAGAGAUGGAGUCUUUCAGUUCGGCUGGACCGGAGACAGGUGCUGCAUGGCUGUCGUCAGCUCGUGUCGUGAGAUGUUGGGUUAAGUCCCGCAACGAGCGCAACCCUUGUCCUUAGUUGCCAUCAUUAAGUUGGGAACUCUAAGGAGACCGCCGGUGACAAACCGGAGGAAGGUGGGGAUGACGUCAAGUCAUCAUGGCCUUUAUGGCCAGGGCUACACACGUGCUACAAUGGCAGGUACAGAGGGAAGCCAACGCGCGAGCGGGAGCCAAUCCCAGAAAGCCUGUCGUAGUCCGGAUCGGAGUCUGCAACUCGACUCCGUGAAGUCGGAAUCGCUAGUAAUCGCAGAUCAGCAUUGCUGCGGUGAAUACGUUCCCGGGCCUUGUACACACCGGAGUA
rnacentral:rRNA from 1 species